ACUUGAAUAACCAAACCUAUGCCCAAAUCCCAUCUUUGUGGGGCUAUCUCCUGGUACUCUUCCUAGCAUUUUUCUCUUUGUCAGAGUCCAAUCAGGAGACAUAAAUCACUUAAAUACAAACUGGUAACAUUUAAUGAUAGAUCUUCAGUUCUCAUGACCACAAAAGACCAAGUUUCAGACAGGAGAAGAGACGUGGCCCGGCAGUGUGUCCCUAGAGCCUAUGAUCUUGUCACUAGGUUACAGUGCUUCCAGGUAGCACACGGCUGGAGUGCGAUGGCAUGAUCUCGGCUCACUGCAACCUCUGCCUCCCAGGUUCAAGCGUUUCUCCUGCCUCACCCUCCCAAGUAGCUGGGAUUGCAGGCAUGCACCACUGUGCCCAGGAAGCUGAGAGUGCUGAGGGCACAUCUGAAACCACUGGAGGUUGGCGACAUGGAGGUCAGUAUAUUUUUAAAUGGAACCACCCCAAUCGUGAGAACUUCAGAACGGUGGCAGGCUGUGGAGAAAAUAAGAUGGGGGAGUCAGAACUGAAGAAUUUGGAAGUGCUCAAAUUUUUAAAUAACCAGAUCGAGGAGCUGCCAACACAGAUCAGCAGGCUUCAAAAACUCAAACACCUGAACCUUGGCCACCCUGUGUGCACUCUAUCUAAGUGACAACGGUUUUGAAAUCCUGCCACCAGAUAUUGGGAAGCUCACAAAGUUGCAGAUACUCAGCAAUAGGGAUAAAGACCUGAUCUCACUGCUUAAGGAAAUUGGGGAGCUUACCCAGCUUAAAGAGCUCCACAUUCAGAGGAACCGCCUCACUGUUCUACGCCCAGAACUAGGCAAUGAUGGGACCUCUUCUCCUGCAUUUGUUACCCAGAUAAUUUUGCCUUUGGAGAAGAGAAGAAAAUCACAUUGGUCUGCUCGGAAUGCAACAAAACAAAGUGUUAUUGACACCAAAACCUUAUUUGCACCAAUCCAAACAGCCUAUGGGACAUAUGUCUGCAAUGCUGCACACACCUGGGGCUAGCCAGCUUAGUGCCCUACGAUAUGUGCCAAUAAUCGAUAGCAUUUUUUACUACAGUAAUUAUGAGAAGCAUAGUAUUUUCUAGCAUGCUUGUGAAGAGUGGAAACAAAUAUUAAUCCCCUUCAGAGAGUAAAGGACAUUAUGAAUUGAGAAUUUCCUCCCAAUUUAUUCUCCAGAAUGAACAGAAUUAACAGUGAGUGGAUGUACGUCCAAAAUUUCUUCUGUUAUAUCUCUUAAUCCUUUUCCUGCGGACAUCGAGAAACUAAAGAAAAAUAACUUUCUUUACUGAGGCAGGCAAGAAGGAAAUCCAGUAUUCUUUGUUUGAUCAAUUAAGUCUCUGUAAGUGUCUCAUUUAUCUUCUCUUUUGUUAUUGUCACUCUGUCAACUGGUUCCCAAUUAUUUUAUCCAGAGGUUUAAAACUUUUUUAAAUGUAAACAGUAGAGAAUAGAGGUUAAGUGCUGCACUCUUCAUCACUAGGCUUGGGUUCAAACCUCACUCUCCCACUCCCUUGUUCUGUGACCUUCAGAUACUGAUAUGGUUUGAAAGGAAAGGAAAGGAAAAAACAGAUCAAAAUGUUUCAAUAAUCAUGAACGUAUAUGUAUCUGAUAAUGUACCCUUUAUUUAUGCUCAAUGAGAUUUAACAUGUUCAUCUCAGAAAGGGAUAGAUCAAGCUGCAAAAAGUUUGCAUACAUAGAAGAUCUAAAUAGCAUGACUAACAAGUUUAAAAUAUUAAUGUAGAAUCAUAAAAAUAUAAUUUUUUCAAGCACACAUAUAAUAUUUGUAAAAAUUGACCAGGUACAAAUCACAUAGUAAUUCUCAAUAAAUUUUAGAAAAAGGAA